rnacentral:SRP_RNA from 2 species
AGCCGGAGUCCGCGCGACCAAAGACCGCUAACCCCGUCAGGACCGGAAGGUAGCAGCGGCAUGCGGAUCCUUUCGUGCGCCGCGGGUAGCUCUGACUGAG